AGUUUGUUCCAACCAACUAAAGCUUACCUUCAAGGGAGGGACUAUCGUGAGCAAGAUGGAGAUACCAGAAAUUCCGCCUCACAGAUUCAUAAGAAUUUUUUCCAAAAUGUUCUAAAAUAUAUGUCUUAUGACUUUUUUGAGUGUAGUUAUGCAUUUUCUAUUAAGAUUGAUCCUAACUUCAACUACUUAAGUACUUAA